GUUUAGGGUUUAAGAGUAGUAUCACUCUCUCCUGCUACUUUUGUCACAAACCAGGUAGAAUCAAUCAAUCAAAUGCUUGUCUGAAUAUUUUUUCCAUGUGGGUUUCGUCAAUAAGGUUAGCUUCUUACAGAAAAAUCCUCAAGAACACUCAAUUUAUUCGUUUGAAAUCAGUUUCUUCAGUAGCUCAAUUAACUUCAUAUUUGUCAGAUUCUAGUUCUGAUGAACAAAUUGGAAAUACCCACAUGAAAAAUAAUGAGUUAACUAACAAUACUGUUGAGGUGAACUCGUAUUGGGUCACUGAAAUGCUUAAUAGUUUAAGGGAAGAGCCUAAUGAUGCUUUAUCAUUUUUUCGUCAGUUGAAAGAAAGUGGGUUUAAACAUGAUAUUCAGACUUAUAUGGCUAUGAUUAGGACAUUUUGUUAUUGGGGUAUGGAUAUGAAGUUGGAUUCUUUGUUUUUAGAGGUUAUAAAUUUGGGAAAGAGGGGGUUGGGUUUUGAAGUUUCUGACUUGUUUGAGGAAUUGGUGGAGGGGUUGAAUGCUGAGGGCCCCAAUUCGUUGGUUCGGGCUUUAGAUGGAUUGGUUAAGGCUUAUGCUAGUUUAAGGAUGUUUGAUGAAGCUAUUGAUGUUUUGUUCCAGACAAAAAGGUGUGGUUUUGGACUGAGUGUGUUGUCGUGUAAUUAUCUCAUGAAUAGGCUUGUUGAGUGUGGGAAAGUAGAUAUGGCUGUGGCGGUUUAUAAACAGUUGAAGAGGAUUUCGGUGAGUCCAAAUGUGUAUACUUAUGGAAUUGUGAUCAAGGCAUUAUGUAGAAAAGGCAAUUUUGAAGAAGCAGUUGGUGUAUUUGAGGAGAUGGAGAAAGCCGGUGAAACUCCUAAUGAGUUUACCUAUUCUACUUACAUUGAAGGGCUUUGUUUGUAUGGUAGAUCAGACUUGGGCUAUGAUGUAUUGCGGGCGUGGAAAGGGGUAAAUUUACCCCUUGAUGUCUAUGCCUACACUGCUGUAAUUCGUGGGUUUGUUAAUGAGAAGAAGCUGCAAGAGGCAGAAAUGGUGCUGCUUGACAUGGAGGAGCAAGGAAUGGUCCCUGAUGCCGUUUCUUAUGGGGCUGUAAUUAAUGGAUACUGCACUACAGGGAACAUUUCUAAAGCUCUGGCUUUCCAUGACAAGAUGGAAACAAGGGGUAUCAAAAGUAAUUGCGUGAUUGUUAGCUUAAUUCUUCAGUGCUUGUGCAAAAAUGGCAAGGCACGCGAUGCCGUUGAUCAGUUCAGUAGUUUUAAGAAGAAAGGCAUUUUUCUUGAUGAGGUGGCUUAUAAUGGUGUAAUUGAUGCUUUGUGCAAACUCGGUAGGUUUGAAGAGGCUGAGAAGUUGCUUGAUGAGAUGAAGGAUAAGAGGAUGACACCUGACAUCGUGCAUUACACUACUUUAAUAAAUGGCUAUUGCCUCCAUGGACAAAUUUUAGAUGCGAUGGGUUUAUUUGAUGAAAUGAAAGAAAAAGGAUUGAAACCUGACAUUAUUACUUAUAAUGUGCUUGCUGGUGGAUUUUCUAGAAAUGGCCUCGUUAAAGAGGCAAUUCACCUUUUGGACCAUAUGAAGGGACAAAAGUUGAUGCCAACAACUGUCACACAUAAUGUGAUUAUUGAGGGCUUAUGCAUUGGAGGUUAUGGGAAAGAGGCUGAAAUAUUUUUCAAUAGUUUGGAAAAUAAAUCUGCAGAAAAUUAUGCUGCCAUGGUGAAUGGGUAUUGUGAAUUAGGCAACACCAAAGAUGCUUUUGAGCUUUUUGUUAGACUGUCAAAACAAGGUGUUUUAAUUAAAAGGAAAUCUCGUUUGAAGCUUCUAAGUAGCCUAUGUCUUGAAGGCGAAUAUGGAAAAGCGUUAAAGCUGUUUGAGAUAGUGUUGUCAUUAGGUGAUGGCAUUUGCAAAAUAAUGUGCAGCAAACUAAUAGCUUCCUUAUGUAGUGCUGGAGAUAUGAAAAGGGCCAGGUGGGUGUUCGAUAAUCUGGUUUGGAGAGGAUUAACACCUGACGUGGUCAUUUAUACUAUGAUGUUAAAUGGUUAUUGCAGGGUGAAUCGCUUGCAGGAAGCCAUUUAUCUUUUUGAUGAUAUGAAGAAAAGGGGCAUUUCUCCUGAUGUUAUCACUUAUACAGUUAUGCUUGAUGGCCAUUCUAAGAAUUUAAAGAGAGAUCGAUUGUCAUCAGAUACAAGCAGGAAUGACAGAGUAAGAAGGGAUACAGGGUCAGUUUUUUGGAGUGAAAUGAAUGGGAUGGAAUUAACUGCUGAUGUCAUUUGUUACACUGUUUUGAUUGAUAGUCAUUGUAAAUCAGACAACAUUGAUGAUGCUAUUCACCUUUUCACUGAAAUGAUUGAUAGAGGUUUAGAACCUGAUAGUGUGACGUACACAGCUCUAAUAUGUGGCUAUUGUAAGCAAGGACAUGUUGAGAUGGCUAAAGAACUUGUGAAUGAUAUGUGGAGAAAGGGAAUACAACCAGAUAGCCAUACCAUCGCAGCACUACAUCAUGGAAUCAUAAAAGCCAAAAAGUUGCACCUUAGGCAUAACAAUAACUCAGCCCAAAAUCGGAGACUGCAGGUUAUCUAGUGUAAUUUUGACGAGGCACAAAUUGUUGCAUGGAGAUGAUAAAUAUUCAUUUGAAUGUGAAGAGCACAUACUUUGGUAAUACUGGAAAGAGAAGAGUUGGUGCUCCUGAUGUAACUAGCAAGUAGUGCGGUCAUCAUGAGGCCUGAAAAUCAGGUAUGAGAAUUCAACAUACAUCUUUGCAGAUGAAUUCAGAUGGCCACAUGGCUCUGUCUCAUCUAUGUUUAGUGCUCUUCCGAAUGUAAGUUUUUUUUUUUUUUUUGCCAUUUUGAUGUUCAAAAUAGAGAUUAAAGACUGCACUUCUGUGAUCAUUCAUAUUGCCUGCCUCCUCUGCUACUGUCUUCGAACAUCUUUGAUCUUGAAUUUCCUCUUUCCUAAUGCAGAAACGAGAAAGAAAUUUGAUAGGUAUAAGGCUUGUCAAUACGUUCAAGAUUAAGUUAAUAGGUUCGACGAGGAGAUAAAGAAGGGUUCAACUUGGAUAAAACAUGAACCUUAUUAUAUUAACUCAGUCCUAUAGUGUAAAGAGCUUAUGGCGUUGUGAAUGCUAAAUAUAGAACUGAGAUAACAGUAGAUUCUAUAAAGUAAGGGAAAUAUUCUUGAAAAGUCAAACCUUUAAAAGAACAUAUAUAAAUUUCUAAGUAAUCACACAUCUCACAUCUUAUGACUGAUAUUUUACUUGAAACACGGUCUGCCUCUUGUUCCCAGCAUGUUUUGAGGUUGUAAGUUUUGUUUUCUAAUAGGGAAGAUGUCCUUUGAGCUGGCUUGGAUUUUUUGCUGGGAUGGUGGUAGAAAAUGAAAUCAUCAGAUUUAACAGUUACUUUAUUACUUAAGUUCUAUGUUGCUCAGACUCUUCAAUUUUCUUGCUGCCAACAUGGGUGUGGGCUCCACACACGGAUUUGGUCAACCUAGCUUGGGUACUUUGACUACACAUAUGCCUAGAAGUAUAUUUCAGAUUGGGUAUUUGGUUAGAUUUUGGGUUUAUGUCAUACACAUAUUCAGAGAAAGUAUUACAAGACUUUGCUAAAUACGAGAUAACUUAUGAAUUAAAAAGUAUCAUAAACAUUCACAUAAGAAUGUAGUUCUUGCAUAUAGUAUGACAUUUGAAUUGAGCAACAUCGAGAUCAUCUCAGAGCAACUCAGCCACUAUGUUUGGGUCUAGAAAUGUGAACUGUUGGUUGUACCAAAAUAUUUGUCACCUGUGAAUUUAGAUUCAUCUUCCGCGCUGUGCUUUGGUAGUAAAAACUGUUGCUCAAAACUACGUUUGAUACUGUUGAUGGAAAGCAAGAAAGACAGACGUUCCUCUAUUCCACUUGAUCAUGGUGAUUGUUCCCCUCCUUAAUCAUUUAUAUAUUCAUAGAUUAUUCUCUCUGUAAGCUUUGUUAUGCUAACUGCUAUGAUUCAAAUUAGAUGUCUUGGCUUUCACAAUUUGCUGGAUCUGAUGGGCUUGCAUUAGCAGUAUGUCUGUUUUCUAGUAAUCCUUUUUCCUGCCCUGGGAAGAUUUGUGACUUACAAAUUUUGUGUUUUAUGUGAACAGUUUGAAGCCUUGGCUUUUGGGAGCCACUGAUAUGUGUGGAUGAGAUACCUUCUGGUUCUGGGUUACAUCAACUGUUCCUUUCUACUAUGUUACCUGGGAACAGUAUGCAACUCUUCAGUAUAUUUAUUCAGUAGGCAAUGGAACAUAUAAUUCCAAGAAUCCUCAAAGCAGAAAUGGAUUCUUGUUUUAUCUAACGAAGAGUCCAGAGAAGUCUUUGCUUUUAACUAACAUCGGGAGACAAGAUUAGGCGCUGGGCAGCGCAGUAUCUAUUCCAGAUACAGAGGCAUCAGGGGGUGCCCAGCCACCCAACCCAGCAGAGGCCCAAGUUUUGGAGUUCCAGAGCACGAGGGAAUGAACUCUCUCAUUCCCAGACACCUCGUCUAUGUAUUGUGUCUCCCCCAAUUGCUACGAAGAUAGGUGCACCGUGAUACGAUAAGGACCCCAAAUGAAAAGCCAGGUGUUGAGCCUCGGAACCGACCCAAGCAGAGAUGCAGAGGCAUUGAUGCAUGGAACGUUUACAUCUGCUGAUCUUUCAUGAAUGCAUUAUGGAAGAUUGAAUAGUUGGAUGAAUGACGCAGCAAAUUCUUACAGUUUAAUUAUGUAAUUUUACCAUAUUUUUAUUAGUCUAAAAAUAGGACAUUUUUGAUGUAUUCUACCCAUUUUUGUGAAUUGGAAGUAUAGAGUAUGCUAAAAUGAGUUGCAGAA